UGAACGCUAGCUACAGGCUUAACACAUGCAAGUCGAGGGGCAGCAUGGUCUUAGCUUGCUAAGGCCGAUGGCGACCGGCGCACGGGUGAGUAACACGUAUCCAACCUGCCGUCUACUCUUGGACAGCCUUCUGAAAGGAAGAUUAAUACAAGAUGGCAUCAUGAGUCCGCAUGUUCACAUGAUUAAAGGUAUUCCGGUAGACGAUGGGGAUGCGUUCCAUUAGAUAGUAGGCGGGGUAACGGCCCACCUAGUCUUCGAUGGAUAGGGGUUCUGAGAGGAAGGUCCCCCACAUUGGAACUGAGACACGGUCCAAACUCCUACGGGAGGCAGCAGUGAGGAAUAUUGGUCAAUGGGCGAGAGCCUGAACCAGCCAAGUAGCGUGAAGGAUGACUGCCCUAUGGGUUGUAAACUUCUUUUAUAAAGGAAUAAAGUCGGGUAUGGAUACCCGUUUGCAUGUACUUUAUGAAUAAGGAUCGGCUAACUCCGUGCCAGCAGCCGCGGUAAUACGGAGGAUCCGAGCGUUAUCCGGAUUUAUUGGGUUUAAAGGGAGCGUAGAUGGAUGUUUAAGUCAGUUGUGAAAGUUUGCGGCUCAACCGUAAAAUUGCAGUUGAUACUGGAUAUCUUGAGUGCAGUUGAGGCAGGCGGAAUUCGUGGUGUAGCGGUGAAAUGCUUAGAUAUCACGAAGAACUCCGAUUGCGAAGGCAGCCUGCUAAGCUGCAACUGACAUUGAGGCUCGAAAGUGUGGGUAUCAAACAGGAUUAGAUACCCUGGUAGUCCACACGGUAAACGAUGAAUACUCGCUGUUUGCGAUAUACUGCAAGCGGCCAAGCGAAAGCGUUAAGUAUUCCACCUGGGGAGUACGCCGGCAACGGUGAAACUCAAAGGAAUUGACGGGGGCCCGCACAAGCGGAGGAACAUGUGGUUUAAUUCGAUGAUACGCGAGGAACCUUACCCGGGCUUAAAUUGCAGAUGAACUACGGUGAAAGCCGUAAGCCGCAAGGCAUCUGUGAAGGUGCUGCAUGGUUGUCGUCAGCUCGUGCCGUGAGGUGUCGGCUUAAGUGCCAUAACGAGCGCAACCCUUGUUGUCAGUUACUAACAGGUUCCGCUGAGGACUCUGACAAGACUGCCAUCGUAAGAUGUGAGGAAGGUGGGGAUGACGUCAAAUCAGCACGGCCCUUACGUCCGGGGCUACACACGUGUUACAAUGGGGGGGUACAGAGGGCCGCUACCACGCGAGUGGAUGCCAAUCCCCAAAACCUCUCUCAGUUCGGACUGGAGUCUGCAACCCGACUCCACGAAGCUGGAUUCGCUAGUAAUCGCGCAUCAGCCACGGCGCGGUGAAUACGUUCCCGGGCCUUGUACACACCGCCCGUCAAGCCAUGGGAGCCGGGGGUACCUGAAGUGCGUAACCGCGAGGAGCGCCCUAGGGUAAAACUGGUGACUGGGGCUAAG
rnacentral:rRNA from 1 species